AUUGAACGCUGGCGGCAGGCUUAACACAUGCAAGUCGAGCGGAGAUGAGGUGCUUGCACCUUAUCUUAGCGGCGGACGGGUGAGUAAUGCUUAGGAAUCUGCCUAUUAGUGGGGGACAACAUUCCGAAAGGAAUGCUAAUACCGCAUACGUCCUACGGGAGAAAGCAGGGGAUCUUCGGACCUCGCGCUAAUAGAUGAGCCUAAGUCGGAUUAGCUAGUUGGUGGGGUAAAGGCCUACCAAGGCGACGAUCUGUAGCGGGUCUGAGAGGAUGAGCCGCCACACUGGGACUGAGGCACGGCCCAGACUCCUACGGGAGGCAGCAGUGGGGAAUAUUGGACAAUGGGGGGAACCCUGAUCCAGCCAUGCCGCGUGUGUGAAGAAGGCCUUAUGGUUGUAAAGCACUUUAAGCGAGGAGGAGGCUACUGAGACUAAUACUCUUGGAUAGUGGACGUUACUCGCAGAAUAAGCACCGGCUAACUCUGUGCCAGCCGCCGCCGUAACAC
rnacentral:rRNA from 1 species